CUAUCAUUGUAUUUGUAUUUAUUCACGUAUAAAGCCGCACAUGUAAUAUAUACGGUCAAAAUUUUGCAAAUAUACCCUUGCGCUUUAAAAAUUUUCAAAAAAUCAACUCGACAAGCGCGAUCGCGGCCGAUGAGAAGACGUCGACAACGACGGUGUAGAAGGAGAUGACGAUGAGCUCCCCAUGUCAAUCGUCCCAAAAAACAAAUUCGACAGGUAAGUCUCUAAAUCUUCAGGGGCAUAUCGGACAAAUAUCCUUAUAUUCCUCUUUCCCUCCACCGUAACCAUUACUUUGCCAUAAAACUCCCGGUAAACCGGCGUUAGCUUUCUCGCUAUCGAAACCUUCACCUCGUCUCGGAGUUUCGGGUCCGAUACGAUACAAGAACUCUGCUUUCUAUAUGCUGCUUCGAAACUGGAAUUAAAUCGUUUUAAAC
rnacentral:misc_RNA from 1 species